CACGUAAGAAUCUACCUUUCGGUUGGGGAUAACUUCUGGAAACGGGAGCUAAUACCCAAUAUGCUGUGGAGUGAAAGAAUUUCGCCGAAAGACGAUCUUGCGUCUGAUUAGCUUGUUGGGGUGGUAAUGGCUCACCAAGGCGACGAUCUCUAGCUGGUCUGAGAGGAUGAUCAGCCACACUGGGACUGAGACACGGCCCAGACUCCUACGGGAGGCAGCAGUGGGGAAUAUUGCACAAUGGGCGCAAGCCUGAUGCAGCCAUGCCGCGUGUGUGAAGAAGGCUUUCGGGUUGUAAAGCAC
rnacentral:rRNA from 1 species